rnacentral:rRNA from 1 species
GAUGAACGCUAGCGGGAGGCCUAACACAUGCAAGCCGAGCGGUAUUGUUUCUUCGGACAUGAGAGAGCGGCGUACGGCUGCGGAACACAUGUGAAACCUGCCUUUAUCUGGGGGAUAGCCUUUCGAAAGGAAGAUUAAUACUCCAUAACAUAUUGAUUGGCAUCUAUUAAUAUUGAAAGCUCCGGCGGAUAGAGAUGGGCACCCCCAAGAUUAGCUAGUUGGUGAGGUGACGGCUCACCAAGGCGAUGAUCUUUAGGGGGCCUGAGAGGGUGAUCCCCCACACUGGUACUGAGACACUGAUCACACUCCUACGGGAGGCAUCAGUGAGGAAUAUUGGUCAAUGGGUGCAAGCCUGAACCAACCAUCCCGCGUUGAAGGACUACUGCCCUAUGGCUUGUAAACUUCUUUUGCAUAGGUAUAAACCUACCCUCUAGAAGGUAGCUGAUCGCUCUAUACGAACAAGCACCGGCCUUAAUCCGUGCUCUAAUUCCGCGGUAAUUCGGAGGGCGCAAGCCGUUUUCCGGAAUUUAUUGGGUUUAAAGGGUCCGCAUGCGGACCUUUAACUUAUUGGUGAAAGCCUGUCCCCGUUCGUGGGAACUGCCAUUGAUACUGGAAGUCUUGAGUAUAUUUGAGGUAGCUGGAAUAAGUAGUGUAGCGGUGAAAUGCAUAGAUAUUACUUAGAACACCAAUUGCGAAGGCAGGUUACCAAGAUAUAACUGACGCUGAGGGACGAAAGCGUGGGGAGCGAACAGGAUUAGAUACCCUGGUAGUCCACGCCGUAAACGAUGCUAACUCGUUUUUGGGCUUUAGGGUUCAGAGACCAAGCGAAAGUGAUAAGUUAGCCACCUGGGGAGUACGCUCGCAAGAGUGAAACUCAAAGGAAUUGACGGGGGCCCGCACAAGCGGUGGAUUAUGUGGUUUAAUUCGAUGAUACGCGAGGAACCUUACCAAGACUUAAAUGGGAAUUGACAGCUUUAGAAAUAGAGCUUUCUUCGGACAAUUUUCAAGGUGCUGCAUGGUUGUCGUCAGCUCGUGCCGUGAGGUGUUAGGUUAAGUCCUGCAACGAGCGCAACCCCUGUCACUAGUUGCCAUCAUUCAGUUGGGGACUCUAGUGAGACUGCCUACGCAAGUAGAGAGGAAGGUGGGGAUGACGUCAAAUCAUCACGGCCCUUACGUCUUGGGCCACACACGUAAUACAAUGGCCGGUACAGAGGGCAGCUACACAGCGAUGUGAUGCAAAUCUCGAAAGCCGGUCUCAGUUCGGAUUGGAGUCUGCAACUCGACUCUAUGAAGCUGGAAUCGCUAGUAAUCGCGCAUCAGCCAUGGCGCGGUGAAUACGUUCCCGGGCCU